CGAAAGCCUGACGGAGCAAGACCGCGUGGGGGAAGAAGGCUCUUGGGUUGUAAACCCCUUUUCUCUGGGAAGAAAGUUGUGAAAGCAACCUGACGGUACCAGAGGAAUCAGCAUCGGCUAACUCCGUGCCAGCAGCCGCGGUAAGACGGAGGAUGCAAGCGUUAUCCGGAAUGAUUGGGCGUAAAGCGUCCGCAGGUGGCAGUUCAAGUCUGCUGUCAAAGACCGGGGCUUAACGUCGGAAAGGCAGUGGAAACUGAACAGCUAGAGUAUGGUAGGGGCAGAGGGAAUUCCUGGUGUAGCGGUGAAAUGCGUAGAGAUCAGGAAGAACAUCGGUGGCGAAGGCGCUCUGCUGGACCAUAACUGACACUCAGGGACGAAAGCUAGGGGAGCG
rnacentral:rRNA from 2 species